rnacentral:lncRNA from 1 species
GCGGCGGCACGUAGGACGGAUCUCUUGGAUUUACCCGUAACAAGGAGCGGCGCACCCCAGGAGCCCCGGCAGCACCCCAGGAGCCCCGGCAGCACCCCCGGAACCCCGGCGCGCAACCCUCCCCCGGGGACCCCGGCAGCACCCCCGGAGCCCCGGCAGCACCCCCGGAGCCCCGGCAGCACCCCCGGAGCCCCGGCAGCACCCCCGGAGCCCCGGCAGCACCCCCGGAGCCCCGGCAGCACCCCCGGAGCCCCGGCAGCACCCCCGGAGCCCCGGCAGCACCCCCGGAACCCCGGCGCGCAACCCUCCCCCGGGGACCCCGGCAGCACCCCCGGAACCCCGGCGCGCAACCCUCCCCCGGGGACCCCGGCGCGCAACCCUCCCCCCCGGAACCCCGGCAGCACCCUAGGAACCCCGGCGCGCCACCCUCCCCCGGAGGGGGAUCCCGGCGCGCCACCCUCCCCCGGAGGGGGAUCCCGGCGCGCCACCCUCCCCCGGAGGGGGAUCCCGGCGCGCCACCCUCCCCCGGAGGGGGAUCCCGGCGCGCCACCCUCCCCCGGAGGGGGAUCCCGGCGCGCCACCCUCCCCCGGAGGGGGAUCCCGGCGCGCCACCCUCCCCCGGAGGGGGAUCCCGGCGCGCCACCCUCCCCCGGAGGGGGAUCCCGGCGCGCCACCCUCCCCCGGAGGGGGAUCCCGGCGCGCCACCCUCCCCCGCAACAACCUGUCGCCAUGUAUGGCGAUUUGUAUCAGUCACAAGCACACAACCCCUUCUAGUAUUAAUGGUGUUUAAAACGUUCUACACGUACGGCGGACCGCAUCCGUCGCAAGCACGCGCAUAUAACCCCCAAAUGCACCAUGAUGAGAAUCACAGCCACGCGUCAAAUAACUUUAAAAACAUUGUUAUCCAAUAUCAUUAAAAACCACACCGAAAUUUACACAGGUAGCACGUCACCGUGUUAGUGUCACCCACUGUACACAAGGCGUGUCGUAUAUGUAGUAUAGGUAUUUGAUGAGGCGGAAGCAUAUCCCGCUUCCAGCGAACGGAAAUAAGGAUCACCCGUUUCAGCAUUUAUUCAAAGGGGGCACAGAGGGUUCACAUUGUUUAGAGAGAGAUUUUUUUAGUCACCAUUCCAUACUUGGGCAGUAUUGGCCUACGAUUUGGGCGACGUUUCAGGCUGGUCUAUUCUCCGUCCACUUUUCCCCGGCUAUUCUGUCCCAGCAUAGGCUCUUGAAAUAAACAAUGUUUACCGAGUAAAA